rnacentral:rRNA from 1 species
CCUACGGGAGGCUGCAGUGAGGAAUAUUGGUCAAUGGGCGGGAGCCUGAACCAGCCAAGCCGCGUGAGGGAAGAAGGUACAGCGUAUCGUAAACCUCUUUUGUCAGGGAACAAAGGCGGGGACUAGUCCCCGGAUGAGGGUACCUGAAGAAAAAGCAUCGGCUAACUCCGUGCCAGCAGCCGCGGUAAUACGGAGGAUGCGAGCGUGAGCCGGAUUUAUGGGGUUGAAAGGGUGCGCAGGCGGCCUGUUAAGUCAGCGGUAAAAGCCCGGGGCUCAACCCCGGCGAGCCGUUGAAACUGGCGGGCUGGAGUUGGAGAGAAGUACGCGGAAUGCGCGGUGUAGCGGUGAAAUGCUUAGAUAUCGCGCAGAACCCCGAUUGCGAAGGCAGCGUACCGGCUCCACACUGACGCUGAGGCACGAAAGCGUGGGUAUCGAACAGGAUUAGAUACCCGGGUAGUA